rnacentral:lncRNA from 1 species
AAAAAUGUUUGGGAAGACCCACCUGUUUGUUUGCUGAUCUUCUUUGAUGGCAUUAAAGAAGGUAACAUUUGCCUCUUGGAGGAGAAACAAAUAGCUGUGGUGGGCUAGCACUGUUGUUGCUCUUGCUUUGGGAGCCCAAUCCUGAUUCCUUCUACGCUAACACAUGCAAAAAAGGGAGAGAGAAGAAAGUAACCUUUGAGGAGACUGCCACCUUCAUUUCUGUUGAUAUUUUAAGCUUUCUAGAAAAUCUACCUGUUUGUUGAGAGAGAAGAAAAAGUGACAACUGAUCUGGAUAUUGAGGUAGCUCUUUAGUUCCCCUGGGGUGGAAUAGCACAAAGAAGUCUUAAUGGCUAUCUGGAAAAUGAACUGAGAAUUUCCCCAAGACCACGAGUUCACCUGGCCGUGAAAUCAAAGACAAGAAGGAAGGCUGGAGCAGGAGACACUCUGCUGAUUCCUGGCUGGGAAGAUAGUGUCUAGGAGACUGGUCUUGUAGCUUGAUGGUAGACUCUGUGUGGCAAAACUCCAUCCUGAUGAAGUGCAACUUGCGCCCAGUGGAUGACUGAUGCAUAGGAUUUAAGAGCUCUCUCCUCCCUUUCCAUCCCUGGCCCUCACGUUUCCUGCAUGAGGUGUCUGCCUUAGGCGAGUUAGUCACUGUGCGAUUUCACUUGUGAGGUGCUGGAAGAUUCUGUGCUGGAUUCAGAAAUGCUGCAGAUACUUGACACGCUGAAGAAGUCAAGAACACAGCUCAGAAAAUGGGUUCUGGACAGCAUCGCCAGUGGCAUCGUGUUGCUUGACUCCCCAGGAGAUGAAGAGCAACAGGCCGGGGAGUCGCUUCACAGCAGAAUUUCCCACAGGAAGGGAGGUGUCUGCGCUGACCUUGUGCUGAUGAAAUCCCCGACUGAUCCCGACAAGGUUCAGCUCUUGGAAUAUUAGCAGCAAAGUCGACAUCCUCCGGACUCUGUGGAGCAUGACUGGGAACAGCACGAGCUGCGGAGCUCAGGAGAAGGAAACGCAACAAAAUAAAUACCUCCUUUUCUUGCA